rnacentral:misc_RNA from 1 species
GCUGAUGUUUCUGUGGCUAGAGCCAUAAAAGAAUGUUCUGAGACUUCAAGAUGUCUUUUGGCUGCAACAGAGAGAACAGGUUUGUUAGCUGAACACAUACAACUGCUAAAUUUCCUGCUCAGAAUUGUUUCCAGUCUUCAACCAGAGGCAAGUAAUUUGUCAAAUUCAAGAGGCAAGAAAAACAUAUCUGGUUACAACAGUUUAUGGGAAGUUGAAAUAGUAGCUUUUACUAUGAUUGGCGAACUAUAUUCGAG